AUACACUUUGCUGAAUGCUGUUUACCCUAACAAACAUUUUCUACGUUUCUCUAAGGUACCUAUCUAGGUACACAUUUUUGUUUAUUUUGAGUGGAAGAUGUCAUUGCAAAAUUCAGAGCACUGCAAAAUCCAGAGGCAAAUUACGCUGGUUCAUAUUACCAAACCAGAGUAAUUGCUCCUUCAGUCCGACCAUGGGAAGGUUCACAUCCCACCCUUGACUUACAUUAUUUUUAACUUUGAUGGCAGUCUCUAUUUUCCUGAGUCGCUUUUCAGCAGAACGUGUAAUACCUACUCUUCCCUUUCUUUGUGUUGAGUGUGGGAGUUCACAUCCUCCACUUCUUCCUUCUCAUAAGUCAAUUCCCUGAAAAUGCCAACAUUACAAUGAGAGAACAAAGAAUCCCACAAGUCUUGGUGUGUUUUAAUGGGGGAGGGCUAAGAUAAGGGCCAGGUUCAUUCAUGGUACAAUAGUAUUACACAAAGAUUUAGGAAAAAGUGCCAAAGCAAAGUUUUGUUCACCCACUUACAGUGCCUAAUAUUGUUUAGUGCUGUUCUUUUCUUUCUGUCUGCACAUCAUCAUUUACCUUCUUGUUAAUAUGACCACCCUGCUUUCAGUCUCAGAUGACCCGCAGCACAAUCUGAACUCAGAAACAGUUAAAUUGAUUUUAUUCCUUUCAGAAUUUUCUCCUGCUUUCUCAAAUGAGUUUUGAUUACAUUACUUCAUUUAUUUUUAGAGUAAUUUCUUUCUUCCAAUAAGCUGAAUGUGGUGUUAACAGUACUUCACCUUUUCACUUGGGUCUUCACAAAAACCCAUUGUUGAUUCAAUCUGAUGGUGUGGUCUUUUAGGUGAUUGUUCGGUUGUUUCUAGUUUAUGGCAAACCUAUCACAAGGUUUUCUGGGGCGAAGUGUUUGUGGUUUACACAAGGUUACCAAGUGGGUUUCUGAGGCCAAUAAGGGAAUCAAGCCCUGGUUUUCUGAGUUGUAACCCAACAAUCAAACUACUACACUAUGCUGGCUCCUGGUGAUGUUGUUUAGGUUGGGAGAAAAUGACCAGCCCAAUGUCAUCCAGGGAAUUUCAUGCUUGAAUGGAAACUAGAACUCAGAUUUCCUAAGCCAAAACCCAGCACUCUAACCACUAUACCACAAUAUAACUUCACCCACUUUCUAUCAGCAACACUAUCAACUGACCAUUCUAUCAAUUGACCCUUUAAAAACAUUGUUUUCCUGGUUAAAAUUACCCUUUAUACUACUGUUAUCCUAGGGGAGAGGCAUAUAUCUUAGUAUUAAGGAUCAGAAUAGAAGUGUAAAUUCAAUGGACAUAUGGUGCAGGGAAGGGUUAACUCCCCCCUUUUCCUAAUCAAAUUGCUAGCCUUCUUCUACAUGUCUGCUUUCAAGUAAAACAAAAGACACAGGAAAAGUAAAUCACAGCUCUUCCACAUUAUGUGUAGUUGCACUUAUUUAUGAGUUACACUUUUGACUCUCCCUAUAAAUCUGAGGUUUUGACUAAUAAGAUAAGAGACAAGCCUUUAAAAAUUGAGAUUCUUAAAAUGGAAUCAAAUGGCUGGUAUUAUUUUUCACGUUUAGUACAUUAAAAGCCCAUCACUGGACUCCUCGGUUCUCGUUUUUCUUCCUCAAUUUCAUUUCUUAAAUGUUGCAGACCUCUCUUUAUAACUCAUCAUCUCAUCAUAUCUCACCUCUAUAUCUUUCUUUUUCAUUGAUACUUUUUUCUACCCAUGAUUGCUAAAAUGUCUGCUCAUUUUACCAAGAUCUCACUCCUCCUUUCAAUUUCUUUCUAUGUGAUCCCUCAUUCACUGCAUUUUGCUCAUUUUAAUCUUCAUUGUCCCGCACAUCUCACAACAGCUUUGGUUUCAUCUUCUAUCCCAUUUUGGAUUUUUCCCCUCUUUUCGGCCACAUGCUUGGAACAUUUUACAUUAUUGUUUUUUUCUUUUUUUCUUUUCAUGAUUGACUGGUUUAUGUUGUGCAUUUCCUUCCAUGAUUCUUAAGCUGUCUGUUUUUCUCUGUUUAUAGUAAUUUAUGGCAUAAUGUGCUCACGCUCUCUCUCCCUCUCCCUCUCCCUCCCUCCCUCCCCCUAUCUCUCUGAUGUUAUUAUUCUCCAAACACAAAUAGAUGCAUCUAGGUGGCCUAGGUAGAACCCUUCAAGCAAUUUAAGAACUAUGUGUAAGCAAAGACUCUUUCCUUCCAUUAUCUUAAGAUCAGAGGCCAAAUAGGCAGCCGAUGGAGGGCUGAGAAGAACCAGAUGAGAACAUCCCCUCAAGAAUGAUGCUGAACCUCCUUUUCUCCAGGCUCAACCCAUCCUACCAAACCAACAGCUUGAUUUCAUUUCCAGAAGAUGAGAAAACCAAUCUUCUCUGGGGACCACAUCCAAUCAUAGAUUUGGAAGACUCCAAAGAGCACAGGUGGAUGACAUAUCCAACCUCCUCACAGACCAACAGGUGGGAUGCAACAAUCAGAAGCAGGACUUGUGUCACAAUUUCUUGUUACAGCCCUGGUAACUUGUGUCAAGGGAAGAACACCUUGUCCUCCAGAUUACAAUGGACAACCAAAGAAUUCACCAUUUCUUGCUAUCCAGUAAGGCAGAUAGGUGAGUCAGGCCAAGAGAUUAUAUUAAGCUAAACAUUUAUUAAAAAGAAGGUGAUCUAGAAGGUGAGCUUUUGUAUUUGAAUGAUUGAAAUGACUAAGUAUACUGAAGUAUACUGAAACAUCAAAUUAUACCUCAUAGAGAAUUUUCUAACCAGGAGAAAAAAGGUCAAAGUGAGGAAUGGGAGCUAUACAGCUCCAGAGAUGUGGUUACAGCUCUCUACAUGUGGUUUGGAGGCUUCUUUUGAGUUGCCCUGAGUCCCCUUCAGAGUGAGAAGGGUGGGAUAUGAAUUCAGUAAAUAAAUAAAUGAAUAAUUUUACUCUCCGAUGGACCAUUGUUUAUAGCUAUGGGAUGAGUUAGCCUUCUGUUCUUCUCUUUCAGCACCAACAUCCUCUUCUGGAAACCUCUUGUCAGGCUCCAAUGAAAGAAGAGGGAAGGUGAAGGGAUGUGAAGACAAAUGGAAGUGUAGUCAGGAGAAAACAAAUCAUAUCCAGUAAGGAAGGUCUGUCUAAAAGAGAUGGACAAGUAAAUAAGGAGUUAAAACCAAAAUCUGCCAUCCCUGACAAGCCAGGCCGCAAGAUCAAUCUGGUGCAGCAAAUCCUGGAAUCCAUCCCAGUCUUCCAUCCCUAGGAGUUGAAGUUCCCAAUCCUCCUUAAAAAGAAGCCAUUGUGGGAAAGGGGUUAGGGAAGCCACUUUCCCUGAUACCACAGGCUUCCACCUCAACAGCAAGGCCACCUGGCUAUUUCAUGACCCAGCCACCAUCAGCCAAAAUGAGGCCAUAUCACCUGAAAAAAAGACCUUCAGAAAUUCUCUCCACUUAUCUAAGAAUGGAGCCAAUGCAAUACCAGCACACCUAUGUACCCAUAGUAGCCGGGCAGGUGUUGCAACCCUAGCCCCACCCUUCUCUCAGCCUCCCCAAACCAGCAGAGAGAGACAGAUCUUCUCAAGAGCUGCAGUCCUCCCUUCCCUCACUAUAGCUGUGGUGGAGAGCAUGCAGAGACCCACCAGCAGACCCUCCAUCUCAACCUGACCUUCAUCCCCUGGAGGACACACACUCUCAACGUGAAGAUCUCCUGGACCAUCAUGGAUAAGCAGCGGCUCAAUCAGGAGUGAAUCAACUGCCGGGAAUAGAGAGGGAGGGAGGCAGCCCAUUGAACCAAGCUGGACAGGGUCCCCUUCUUUGAGCAGAGGGAGAAACACUCCACUUCUUUGAGCAGAGGGAGAAACACCUGGUGAUCUCUAAUUAUUACAGCUACUCUGACAAGAACUUCAAAGUUAAAUGAUGACCAUGUUGGAUGAGGUCGAUGGAAGCUGAAGAUCUGGAAUUUCCAAGAUUCCUCAUUCUUGAUUUAAUUCUCAUUUACUAAAUUUAAUUCAUAUGGAAAGUUUGUAGUUUUAAAAAUAAUCACAGACAGUACUAAUGUAUAUACUACAUAGCCAUGAAGUCUUGGCAGUUGUUUAUAUUUAAAAUAUCUGUUUAUGUACUUUGUAUUUUUUUUUGUUUCUCUUGAAUAAAAAAUUACCAAAAAAAAUCAUAUUAUCAGACAGCAGAAUGUUUAACAGGCAUGAUCCAGUUUCUAGCUAUGAUAUGUUAAAAAGAGGAAAACAAUGGAAGGAAAAAGUAAGAGGGACAGAUUUUGA